rnacentral:rRNA from 1 species
GACGAACGCUGGCGGCGUGCCUAAUACAUGCAAGUAGGACGCAGUUGCGAACGGGUGAGUAACGCGUAGGUAACUACCUAUUAGAGGGGGAUAACUAUUGGAAACGAUAGCUAAUACCGCAUACUAGUAGAUGGACCUGCGUUGUAUUAGCUAGUAGGUAGGGUAAUGGCCUACCUAGGCAACGAUACAUAGCCGACCCGGGGGGGGGAUCCGCCAACCCGGGACUGUGAACCGGCCCCGACUCCCACGGGGAGGAAGCGUAGGGAAACUUCGGCAAUGGGGGGAAACCUGACCGGGCAACGGCGCGUGAGUGAAGAAGGUUUUCGGGUCGUAAAGCUCUGUUGUUAAGGAAGCGGUACUUAACCAGAAAGGGACGGCUAACUACGUGCCAGCAGCCGCGGUAAUAC